rnacentral:lncRNA from 1 species
UUGUUAGUCACAGACAUAAAAUGUUAAGGUUCUAAAGAAUGACAAUGUCAGCGUUGGUGUAAAAGUGUGAACACCUUGCACGGGUUAUUUUAGAAGGGAAAUCUGAUCACAGCACCGUGUAUUUUAAUAUAUAUUUUAGGAUUCUCCACCACCGUAAAUGGCAUUUAUUAGACAACUGAAAAUAGAUCACUGCACACUUCAGUCAUUUCUUCACUGAGCAUGCACAGCCAGGUGCUGGAGGGAACAAACAUGAAAACACACACAAAUGUGGCCCGCCUGCCUUCAAGCUCCAAGAGCCAGACUCUGUAAUGACCAAUUAUGUACAUCAGAAGCACAAUGGAAACAAAACCACACCGUGCUUUAAAAGGCAAUGAAGCUCACGAGUGGGAGGAAGACUAUAGGGCAACAAGAAAACAGGUGAGAACAUUUUUUUUUUUUGAGACAGUCUCUGUCACCCAGGCUAGAGUGCAAUGGCAUGGUCUGGGCUCACUGCAACCUCUGCCUCUUAGGUUCAAGCGAUUCUCCCACCUCAGCCUCCUUAGCAGCUGGGACUACAGGCGCGUGCCGCCACACCUGGCUAAUACUUCUUAUUUUUAGUAGAGAUGGGGUUUCACUACGUUGGCCAGGCUGGUCUCGAACUACUGACCUCGUGAUCCGCUUCGGCCUCCCAAAGUGCUGGGAUUACAGGCGUGAGCCACGGUGCCCAGCCGUGAGAACAUCCUUGAUCUAAAACUCACAUGUAUCAUGUAGGUGUGUGAUCAUAGCUUCUUUACUUGCUAUGGUCCCCUUGCAAAUGGAUUCAUGAAAGGAGAAACCAUGAUUCCCCCACCUUUUAAACAGCCAGAUUUCUGCAAUCCGUCCCACCCCUCUAGAUUUGCAAUUAUCUGUGAAAAGGAGGAAAGAACAGCAAACUACAGGCAAAAAUCGUAAGCUUCAAAAUUUCUUUGUGCCUCCAUUUUUUAUGCAUUUUCUUUUGGUAUGGCAGUAAACUAGGCAAUACUGUUUUUCUAUGGUAGCUGUAUUAUGAUUGUUCCAGAAUGCACGUAAAUUACCCGGUUAAUCUUCUCUGAUCUUACCUAAAGAGAGUUUUCUUGCUUGAUUAUUCUGAUUCAAGCAUUUUUACAUCAGUCUACAUUUAUUGAAAGAAAAAUUUCCUCAUUUAUAUCACUUAAUGUAUUAAAAUUAAUCUUAGAGCGCACGAAUACCCGGAAUAGGAAGACGUAACAAUACGCAAGCAGUAAGAGUAGAUAACUGUGGGAAAUGCAUGGCGUUAAAAAUACACACGGAAGGGAAAAACAGCUGUAAGAGGGAGAGGUUGGGGCCCCACAGAUAAACAGGCGCAUUUCCACUCCUCCUCCGGACGUCUGCC